rnacentral:rRNA from 1 species
UGGGGAAUCUUGGACAAUGGGCGCAAGCCUGAUCCAGCCAUGCCGCGUGGAUGAUGAAGGCCUAGGGUUGUAAAAUCCUUUCGUUGGGGACGAUAAUGACGGUACCCAAAGAAGAAGCUCCGGCUAACUUCGUGCCAGCAGCCGCGGUAAUACGAAGGGGGCUAGCGUUGUUCGGAUUUACUGGGCGUAAAGGGCGCGUAGGCGGCAAUUCAAGUCAUCUGUGAAAUCUCCGGGCUUAACUCGGAACGGUCAGAUGAUACUGCUUUGCUAGAGUGCAGAAGGGGCAAUCGGAAUUCUUGGUGUAGCGGUGAAAUGCGUAGAUAUCAAGAGGAACACCUGAGGUGAAGACGGGUUGCUGGGCUGACACUGACGCUGAGGCGCGAAAGCCAGGGGAGCAAACGGGAUUAGAUACCCACGUAGUCCCUGAGCGGGCUGGCAAGGCGCAU